rnacentral:rRNA from 1 species
UUAGUGGCGGACGGGUGAGUAACACGUGGGAACGUGCCUUUAGGUUCGGAAUAAGCUCGGGAAACUGGGUCUAAUACCGAAUGUGCCCUUCGGGGGAAAGAUUUAUCGCCUUUAGAGCGGCCCGCGUCUGAUUAGCUAGUUGGUGGUGUAAUGGACCACCAAGGCGACGAUCAGUAGCUGGUCUGAGAGGAUGACCAGCCACAUUGGGACUGAGACACGGCCCAAACUCCUACGGGAGGCAGCAGUGGGGAAUCUUGCGCAAUGGGCGAAAGCCUGACGCAGCCAUGCCGCGUGUAUGAUGAAGGUCUUAGGAUUGUAAAAUACUUUCACCGGUGAAGAUAAUGACUGUAGCCGGAGAAGAAGCCCCGGCUAACUUCGUGCCAGCAGCCGCGGUAAUACGAAGGGGGCUAGCGUUGCUCGGAAUUACUGGGCGUAAAGGGAGCGUAGGCGGACAUUUAAGUCAGGGGUGAAAUCCCAGAGCUCAACUCUGGA